rnacentral:rRNA from 1 species
GACCCUACGGGGGGCAGCAGUGAGGAAUAUUGGUCAAUGGCCGGAAGGCUGAACCAGCCAAGUCGCGUGAGGGAAUAAGGCCCUAUGGGUCGUAAACCUCUUUUGUCGGGGAGCAAGGCCCGCCACGUGUGGCGGGAAGGAGAGUACCCGAAGAAAAAGCAUCGGCUAACUCCGUGCCAGCAGCCGCGGUAAUACGGAGGAUGCGAGCGUUAUCCGGAUUUAUUGGGUUUAAAGGGUGCGUAGGCGGAAGGUUAAGUCAGCGGUCAAAUGUCGGUGCUCAACACCGGCCUGCCGUUGAAACUGGU